rnacentral:rRNA from 1 species
UACGUAGGGGGCUAGCGUUGUCCGGAUUUAUUGGGCGUAAAGAGCGUGUAGGCGGCCAGAUAGGUCUGCUGUGAAAACUCGAGGCUCAACCUCGAGAUGUCGGCGGAAACCAUUUGGCUAGAGUCCGGAAGAGGAAAGUGGAAUUCCUGGUGUAGCGGUGAAAUGCGCAGAUAUCAGGAAGAACACCCGUGGCGAAGGCGGUUCUCUGGGACGGUACUGACGCUGAGACGCGAAAGCGUGGGGAGCGAACAGG